AUAUUAUUGUUCACUAGAAUAUAACUUUAAAAGUAGCGGGACUUUUCUUUGGGAAUUUGUUUGAGGAGGGAAUGUUAUCGGUGCGACACUUCUACGGGGUUUCCUCUUGUACCUCAUGCGGUCGCCUCAGUAUAUGUUGCGUGUGAGGCCGAUGAUGACGCGCGUGUUUUCCGGCUCCUCCCCUCAUUACACUGCUGAGUCGGAGAUUGUUUUAUAUGCUGGGAGAACUUCACAGGGCAGGAGACGGUGCUCCCAUACUAUCAUGUGUACCACACUUCUUGCAUACUGCAGUGGUUCUCACAGAUGGACUAGAAAAAUGGGAAACAUUUUGAGGAUUGUGGCAGAAUGGACCAUAACUCAGGUAGCACAACUGUGAAGGACAAGGAGUCUUGGCCAGAAUAAAUGAAUCUCAGGGUCAGCGUGAGGGAGAGGAGUGACCGAUUUGCUUCGAGCCAAUGGAACAGUGGGAUAUGGUGAUGGUCCAGUGCAACCACCGGUUCCACUGGUAUUGCAUCGCACAAUGGCUCACACAGCAACUAACCUGUGGGGUGUGUCUCAUGGAAAUCAUUCCAAAUGGUUUACAGUAAAAUAACAGUGAACAUAAAUAAAUACAGCAGGUGGAUGUGAGCAGCAGGACGGAGGGAGACAGACGGUAACGCAGGACCGCGUCAAAUCAACGGCCUUUAAUAAAUAAUAAAGACACAAACACGUGUGACGUCACCGGUGACACCGAAGCGCUGAGUCGUGAGUCACAAAAAAAGGAACCGAUUUUCAUUGAAGCUUUGUAUCGAAGCUUGAUUCGUUCUGGCAAAAUCACGUGACCAAUGACGUCCGAAGCUUCGUUUCUCUCACACACCCACGUGACUGCUUCGUUAUCUGAAGGUUUAAAAUCGUGUGCGACACGCGGCGGAGCGCCCUCGUGUGUUGUAUUGGAGUAUUACACGGAAUCUAUUACUGUAUAGCGAGUUUAGGAGAGUUUAUUGUUGUCAAUGGAGCCUGUUAUAAAAAAAUCACCUUCUGAAAUGCGGGAACACUUUCAUUUGAUUUUGCCCAAUUAGGUGGAUAUUUAUAUGGUUUUGUUGUGAAGCCGAUAUUUAUAACUUAAAUGUCACUCAUCAUUGGGCAAUUAUACGAGUCAGUGUAACAUCUCAUGUCGUAUAUUUUGUCAUAUUUAUUUAUUGGAUAGUAAUAAGUUAAAAAAAAUACAGGAAUGCAAGAAAAGCCUUUUGUGCACCGCUUAAUACCAAUAAUGAUCUUUUUUUAAAGGGUUCACACUUUAUACUUUUGAGACAAGGUCUGUCCUUAAUCUGUUUUUAGCUCCAGUGAUUUGCUCCCAGCAGCUGGACUAUAAUAAUAAUAAUACAUCAUCCAUGUCACUCAUUCAAGAACACUUACAAUGUCCAGUUCACGAGUUCACACUUACAAAUAAGACUGUGUGUAUAUAGUCAUGCUGAACAGGUGGACACCUGAUUGCUGAGUGUUAAUAAAGCAUCAUUAAGCACAAAGCAUCCAUCUGACCUACAGUACAGUAGAAUGUGAGGCAGAUUUAUAAUGAUGUAAAAGUGUCUGCACUUAUGUUUAUGAAAAGAAUGCUUAUGAUUUUUUAUUCUAAAAACAGUCAAAAUGUCCACAUUCACCAUACAAAAAGUUCUCUUCAUUACAUUUUUGUUUACAUUUACCCUGCGUAUGUAGGGUUGCAAAGGGGCAGAAAGUUUCCGGUAAAUUUCCACGGGAACUUAA